rnacentral:rRNA from 1 species
AACGAACGCUGGCGGCAUGCCUAACACAUGCAAGUCGAACGAGGCCUUCGGGUCUAGUGGCGCACGGGUGCGUAACGCGUGGGAACCUGCCCUUAGGUUCGGAAUAACUCCCCGAAAGGGGUGCUAAUACCGGAUAAUGUCUUCGGACCAAAGAUUUAUCGCCUUUGGAUGGGCCCGCGUUGGAUUCGCUAGUUGGUAGGGUAAAAGCCUACCAAGGCGACGAUCCAUAGCUGGUCUGAGAGGAUGAUCAGCCACACUGGGACUGAGACACGGCCCAGACUCCUACGGGAGGCAGCAGUGGGGAAUAGUGGACAAUGGGCGAAAGCCUGAUCCAGCAAUGCCGCGUGAGUGAUGAAGGCCUUAGGGUUGUAAAGCUCUUUUACCCGGGAUGAUAAUGACAGUACCGGGAGAAUAAGCUCCGGCUAACUCCGUG